AUAAUGCACACACAGUGUGGAGGCCUUCUGUGCCACACUGACUCCAAGGAUUAACAACACACAGCAUUCUCAGUCACUGCACCAGAGUCACUCCUACCCUGGGAAAUGUGGGACAACACAACUGAGUGCAAUGGAGAACAGAAGGCUGCUCAGGAAUGGAGGUGAUAAAUUAUUAAUAAGGACACAGAAGACGACUCCCUACACAGAGUUGAAACAGGACUGUCUAGCACCCGUGAGUUAUCCUUCCAUAUGGAGAACAGGCCCAGUAAAAAUGCCUGCCCACUUUGCUAUC